GCGCGGGGGGUGCGAGGUCCGAGGGUCUACGCUGCCGGCCCCCGCCCACGCUCUGAGACCAGGGCACGCGAUAAAAGGGAAUCCUGCACUUUCUCCAGCGUCUGCUCGAACCAGGAUGCCCGCUUCCGCGCUUCUGGACUUGUCGCCGAGAGGGAAGGCCGCAGAGGGCCCCCCCCCGCGCUUGGCCUGAGAUGUGCAGUGUGCGUGUUCCCGGCCUGAAUGGGAGAGAGGAUGAGAAGGGUGCAAUGGGCCCAGCCUGGAAAUACAUCCCCUCUGCCCACAUACCAUUAUCUGGAACUCAGCCACGUGGCCAGACCCGACUGUAAGAGAAGCAGGACCAUGUAGCUCACGUCUGUGACCAGGAAGAAGAGGAGUGGGCUUGGCAAGACGAGCUCACAGGCCCUGGAGCCAUGGACCACCUGGCCAGAGAAUCGUAAAUCAGAGACAUCCUGACUCUCCAAACCACAACCGAGAAAUGCCACAAGGCGAUGGUUAACCCCAGUUUCUUUGUUCUUCCCCUUUAAAACACCCCUCACUCAAAGACCAAGAUGGAGUAGAUCUGAGGCGUGUCUCCCACUUCCUUGCUUAAUACCCUGCAAAUAAACCCUUGCUUUGCAGCACA